CUUUGCAUUGGACUUUGAACCAAUCUGUGUAGGAUAGGUGGGAGGCUUUGAAGCGGGGACGCCAGUUCUCGUGGAGCCAUCCUUGAAAUACCACCCUGGUUUGUUUGAGGUUCUAACCUUGGCCCGUGAUCCGGGUCGGGGACAGUGCAUGGUAGGCAGUUUGACUGGGGCGGUCUCCUCCUAAAGUGUAACGGAGGAGUUCGAAGGUACGCUAGGUACGGUCGGACAUCGUGCUAAUAGUGCAAUGGCAUAAGC
rnacentral:rRNA from 1 species